rnacentral:rRNA from 1 species
AUUGAACGCUGGCGGCAGGCCUAACACAUGCAAGUCGAACGAGAGGCGGACGGGUGAGUAAUGUCUCGGCAACUGCCUGAUGGAUGGGGAUCACUACUGGAAACGGUUGCUAAUUCCGUAUACCAUCACAUGUGCCCAGUUGGGAUUAGCUUGGUGGUGGGGUAAAGGCUCACCAAGGCGACGAUCCCUAGCUGGUCUGAGAGGAUGACCAGCCACACUGGAACUGAGACACGUUCCAGACUCCUACGGGAGGCAGCAGUGGGGAAUAUUGCACAAUGGGCGAAAGCCUGAUGCAGCCAUGCCGCGUGUAUGAAGAAGGCCUUCGGGUUGUAAAGUACUUUCAGCGGGGAGGCGUUACCAGCAGAAGAAGCACCGGCUAACUCCGUGCCAGCAGCCGCGGUAAUUC